rnacentral:rRNA from 1 species
AACCAGACUCCUACGGGAGGCAGCAGUGAGGAAUAUUGGUCAAUGGGCGAGAGCCUGAACCAGCCAAGUCGCGUGAGGGAGUACUGCCCUAUGGGUUGUAAAACUCUUUUGUCGGGGAGCAAAAGCCGGACGUGUCCGUCUGUGAGAGUACCCGAAGAAAAAGCAUCGGCUAACUCCGUGCCAGCAGCCGCGGUAAUACGGAGGAUCCGAGCGUUAUCCGGAUUUAUUGGGUUUAAAGGGAGCGUAGGUGGAUUGUUAAGUCAGUUGUGAAAGUUUGCGGCUCAACCGUAAAAUUGCAGUUGAAACUGGCAGUCUUGAGUACAGUAGAGGUGGGCGGAAUUCGUGGUGUAGCGGUGAAAUGCUUAGAUAUCACGAAGAACUCCGAUUGCGAAGGCAGCAUACCGGCGGCGAUCUGACGCUGAGGCACGAAAGCGUGGGUAUCGAACAGGAUUAGAUACCCGCGUAAA